UAGCCAUGGUGUGGGCAAGUGUGAAGUAAUUCCUUGAACCGUUCCCAAUACUCAAAAAAAUGUUUCAUCUCAUUUUUGGGAGAAGUUCAUUAUGUCUCGUCUGAGAGU